UACGGGAGGGGCAAGCGUUAUCCAUCAUGACUGGGCGUAAAGAGUUCGUAGACUGUAAAGUAAGUUAUAAGUUAAAUUUUAAUGCCUAACGUUAAAAUAGCCUAUAAUACUGCUUUACUUGAGUUUUAUACAGAAGAAUAGAAUUUUACAAGAAAGGGUAAAAUCUAAAAAUAUGUAAAGGAAUACCAGUGGCGAAGGCGAUUCUUUGGUAAAAACUGACGUUGAGGAACGAAAGUAUGGGGAGCAAACAGG
rnacentral:rRNA from 1 species